GUGUGUAAUGCAUUGUGUGUUUUUCUGUGUGCAAGGGGUGCAUUGCAUGUGUGUGUGAUGGAUGUCACUCUCUCCCCCCUCCCUUGUCACUCUCUUCUCCCCCCUCUCCCUUGUCACUCUCUUCUCCCCUCCACCUUCCCACUCACAUUGCCCCUCCCUCCCUUGUCACUCUCACCCCCGUCAAUUUCUUCUCCCCCCCCACCAAUUUCUUCUUCUCUCCCCUGUCAAUUUAUUCUU